AACAGGUCACAGAAAAAAAAAAAACAGAACAUCUAUUAAUUACGUAGGUUCGAGCAAUAUAAGAACUAAAGGCAUCUAUUCUAGCAGAUAAUAAUAACAAGAGCCGAUAGAGAAUGAGAAGGAGAACGAAAAAGAGGGCAGUUAGGAAUGCGAAAAACAAAUUUAUCAGAGGUCUUGCUUCUUGUUAUGCAGAAGCGAAUGCAUCGUGACACAAACUAGAAACCUUCAGAAUUGAGACACGGAGACCAUGGUAUGAAACUUUCUCAAUAAGGUUUGGAUUAAGCCCAAGAAAACAGGCCUAUAUAAUAACUGUAUAAACUCAGUAAAUAAGUAUAACUUUGAAAACAAAAAAAGUGGUUGUGAUUUCCACUACCAUACCAACAUAAUAAAAUCACAGACCCCAUGAGUACACCUCUCAUUGGACCCCAGUUUGAGAACACACUGCUCAAAUGGAGGCCUCCACGUUCAUUAUAAUUGCUGGUGUAUCUCUGAGUUGCAUUAAAUCUUGCUCAGUGGCAGUCAGAUCUUGAGAGUGGAGCCAUUAGAGCUCAAGCAGAAGCCUGAUCAAUGGCCCAAGUGUGUGCUGACAGCCUGUGUUUCUUCCCUCUGUUGGCUGGACGACUAGAAAUCAGUGUUGCUGCACGUUCAUCUGCUCUGUUUCUCUCGAUCAACAACAGAGCUCUUCCAUGUCCACGAAACUAGAAGAGGUGAAAAAAGUGAGAGCUCAGAGAUUUUGCUAAUUUCUUGUUUUAAUUACGUAAAAUGUAAACCUAUAUAAAAUGAAAGAAAUGAAUGGAAGUAGGAAGGUGUGACAGUUCACUUCGUUCAUGUUUCGCUUUGGUCCUUAUUUUCUAGGCUUGUAGACUCCUAUAAAUGCUAAAUGAAUGUCUUCUUAUAGAAUACUUUAUCAUACACCAAGAACACACUUGUAAUGCAUUUAUUGUUAGUCUUAGAUUAUCUGCCAUUCAUGUUCUUGUGCAUGACCUGUUACAAUGGAUACAAUAACUUAUAAGAACCAGUGCAUUGUAAUGUAAACAGGCACCUUGCCGUUAGGAUGGCCACCUACAGACUGUUAAACCUGAGGGGGUUCGAGGAUGUUGGCGCAGCUGAUGGAGCAGAUGGUUCCGGCCUGACAGUGAAAAGUGUGUGAUGGGUGGAAAGAGGCUAUGAUAACAAGCUCAGCACCCGGUCUGACCUGGACCAGCACUACUGGACCCCGUGCAAGUUCUAUGAAAACUGUUAGGUGCUGAUGGGAAAUCUGGAGAUCACUAGAAUUGAGCACAACCACAACCUCGAAUUCCUGAAGAAAUUCUGAACGGUGGUGUGUAUGUGAAUCAGAGCAUGUUCCUGUGAGAUGCUGACACCAUCAUGAGCUGCUGGUGGUGGUGCCAUCCAACAACAGAUGCAGAGCUGCAUGUGCGUGAUGGGCAUGUGUGUUCAGACGUAGGAUCUUGCAGCCCUGGUCCUGGUCAGGACUUUAUCAUAGGUCAGUCUGUAUUUAUUAUACAUAAUAAUUCAUACUUUACAGUGUGAAACAAAAAGUAUCGUUCACUAUCAGUAAUUGCUUUCAUUAAAAUUGAGAUAAAUUCACCAUUGUGAGAAAUCUGAACGGUAACCAGACUCAUUCACGUGGCGCCCCAGGUGUACCACCAGGAAAUAAGCCUCCUUUUUAUGUAAGCAAAGCACAAAACAGUUCAUAAAACAGUUCUUCAUUUUAAAACAGUUCAUAAAACAUUUGAUAAUUUUCAAACAAAUAUCAAAUAGAUUUAACUGAUCAUUCAAUCGAGGCACAACCGGUGUGCGUGGAGUUUGCGUGUUCUCCCGGCUCUUCGGGGGUUUCCCCUGGGUACUUCCGGUUUCCUCCCCCAUUUUAAAGACAUGAGAUGUAAGCUGAUUGGCACCUAGAAAUUGUCCGUAGUGUAUGAUUGUGUGUGCGCGAUUGGUGGCACUCUGUCCGGGGUGUCCCCCGUCUUGCGCCCCAAGUCCCCUCUGCGUGCAAUGGGUUGGCACCCCGUCUAGGGUGUCCCCCAUCUUGUACCCCGAGUCCUCUGGGAUAGGCUCCAGGCUCCCCGCAACCCUGUGUAGGAUAAGCGGAUGUAUAGGUAUAGAUUCAUAUGAACAUAAAUGCUGUAAAAUGGAUUUGCCAACAUAGUUUUUAAUAUUACAGUUCAGCUAAGCACAACUUUUAGUGACACAUUAAUCAAAAAAAAAAUGUGUCUUGCAAUUUUGAGUUCUUUAGCUGGCUACCCUGAAGCAAAAAAGCACCCAUACCCCCACCCCUCCACCCCCGCCCCCGCCCCUGCCCGCCACUCGUAGAUGAUUAACAAGGACUGUAAUAGGAAAGAAUUUAAGUGGAACCAAAUUGCCCAUUAGAGCUCAGGGUCACGGUGAAGAGUCCAGUUGAGAGAUUUAACUUUCUGCUACAAGUGCAUUCUGGGUAAAAGGCCUUCACCUAGUACAACUUGUCAAAUUGCAGCCAGAUGUGAUCGGGGUGAUUUUUGUGCUCAUGAUUUUGUGCUCAUGUUUUCCAUUUACGUCUGACGCAAGAGCAUAAUGAAGACGCGAUCCCAAAGAUAAUGCCAUUUUUCACCUGUAAGGAAUUUUUUUUAAUAUAUAUUUAAAAAAGCAAACAAGUGUAAAUGAAUGAAUAGAAAAUCUCCUAUAUGUAGUCCCAUUUGUUCCUGACUUUUCAGAACACUCUGAAUAUUCAUGCACGUGUACCUUAGAUCAGUGCAUUAGUACAUCUUCUUCUCGGAAACCCAUUUCUGCACACACACACACACACACACACACACACACACACACACACACACACACACACACAUACACACGCACGAGUACAUACUGAGGGUCGGUCUCACUAAUAGCGGUCAGCUCUCUCGAUACGCAAGGAAACACUAAACACACUCUUGCGUUCUUUUUGUUCCCCUCAGGGUCUUCAGAGAUAAUGUUUUCUGUGGGGAUUUGGGAGGACAUGAUUUGGAGCACUAAAAGCUCUUUUGUUGUCGGUCAUUCUUCCAGGAAAGUGCGGUGUUAAUGCGUAACCGUCUGUAUCUAUUCAGAAUGAAAUAAAACCACCUACUAAAGUGUCACAGCAUUGCAGAAAGUGGUGGUUAGUCUGAAAAAUGAUUUUAAACCUGUGGUUUGGGAAAGGCUUUGUUUGUUUGUUUGUUUGUUUGUUUGUUUGUUUGUUUGUUUCUCCCCAGGAGGCUGUGAUGGUGUCCAGCAUGGAUCACCCACACCUGUUGCAUCUACUCAAAGUGUGUGUGUGAGCCCCAAAAUGCAGCUGGUGACCCAGUUCGUGAACCAUAGCUGCCUGCUGGAUUAUAUUCACACAUACACACAACAUCGGCUCUCAGCUGCUGCCGAACACUAAACUAAGAGCUGCUUGCGUGUGUGUUUUGAAACGGAACGGUGUCAUAGAAAGCAGCGAAAUAAUUGUUUAAUAGUUUAAAUCAUGCCGCUCGGGCCUCGUUUCCACGUUUUCAGGGAAAUCUCCUGUAAAACAGUGCUUAUUGAUUUGUGUGGAAAACCAAAGGACCUUUCUCUUACCCCAUUUCUUUCUGAGAUGACUCUUUCCCUGUUUUCACACACUGCAUGCAGCUGUGAUUAAACCAUAGGCCUUAAAGAAGGGGAAGGAAAAAAAAGGCCUGGAGUAGCAUAAAGGUGCUUCAUCUUCAUCUUCAUCUUCAAUCAAAAAGCACACAAAAACAGCUGAAGGGAAUCGGACAGGUUCAGACUUUGUUUACCAAUGUUCCAAUCUCCCUCCCGGCAAGCAAUAACAGCUGAGGAAAGCACCAUUUCUGACUUCUUCAUUCACUUUAGGUGUCCAUAUUAUUAGUGAUAAAGCACACACACACACACACACACACACACACACACACACACACACACACACACACACACAUAUGACUGGCUCCACACAGCACAGCUCCAGUCUUCCUCUCUCACAUGCACGGUUUUCCUGAGCUGCCUUUGGUGUUCAGGGAGGCAUCUCCGGCGUUGCCUUGGCUGAGGAUGGAUUUCCAAAGUUCUGGCUUUCUCACGAUCUAGCCGCAGGAGCACGUGUGCGAAAAGUGCAAAGGAAAUGAGUUCCAGGCACAGAAGAUGAAGGACGCAUUUGCAGGACAACUUCAUCAGCAACCCCUUUUUAUUUUUUCCCCCCUUUCCGUUGAGCUUGUCACAGCGAUGCCAUCACGCAGAGGUGAGAGGAAACAUGCUCAGAGUGAACGGCUACCAAUUUGAAAUUCUAUCACUUCUGAUAGAGUUGAGUGAGUGAGGCAGUUCCACUGCUGGUUUCCAUGUAACUUAUAAAUGAACUAUCUGUGGAAAAAGAAAUGUAGUGCAAUAAGUAAGGAAUAAAACACUGGGUGUGGUGGCGUUACAGGAAAAAGA